UACGAAGGGGCUAGCGUUGCUCGGAAUCACUGGGCGUAAAGGGCGCGUAGGCGGAUUUCUAAGUCGGGGUGAAAGCCUGUGGCUCAACCACAGAAUUGCCUUCGAUACUGGAAUCGUAGAGACCGGAAGAGGUAAGUGGAACUGCGAGUGUAGAGGUGAAAUUCGUAGAUAUUCGCAAGAACACCAGUGGCGAAGGCGGCUUACUGGUCCGGUU
rnacentral:rRNA from 1 species